UACGGAGGGCGCAAGCGUUAUCCGGAUUCACUGGGUUUAAAGGGUGCGUAGGUGGGCUAGUAAGUCCGUGGUGAAAUCUCCAAGCUUAACUUGGAAACUGCCGUGGAUACUAUUAGUCUUGAAUAUUGUGGAGGUAAGCGGAAUAUGUCAUGUAGCGGUGAAAUGCUUAGAUAUGACAUAGAACACCGAUAGCGAAGGCAGCUUGCUACACAAUCAUUGACACUGAGGCACGAAAGCGUGGGGAGCAAACAGG
rnacentral:rRNA from 1 species